CGCGUGCACUGGUUCGGCCGGGCCUUUCCCCUCUGGGGAACCGCAUGCCCUUCACUGGGGUGUGUCGGGGGAACCCAGGACUUUUACUUUGAACAAAUUAGAUCGCUUAAAGAAGGCCUAUGCUCGAAUACAUUAGCAUGGAAUAAUAGAAUAGGACGUGUGGUUCUAUUUUGUUGGUUUCUAGGACCGCCGUAAUGAUUAAUAGGGACAGUCGGGGGCAUCAGUAUUCAAUUGUCAGAGGUGAAAUUCUUGGAUUUAUUGAAGACUAACUACUGCGAAAGCAUUUGCCAAGGAUGUUUUCAUUAAUCAGGAACGAAAGUUAGGGGAUCGAAGACGAUCAGAUACCGUCGUAGUCUUAACCAUAAACUAUGCCGACUAGGGAUCGGACGAUGUUAUAUUUUGACUCGUUCGGCACCUUACACGAAAGUAAAGUUUCUGGGUUCUGGGGGGAGUAUGGUCGCAAGGCUGAAACUUAAAGAAAUUGACGGAAGGGCACCACCAGGGGUGGAGCCUGCGGCUUAAUUUGACUCAACACGGGGAAACUCACCAGGUCCAGACACAAGUAGGAUUGACAGAUUGAGAGCUCUUUCUUGAUUUUGUGGGUGGUGGUGCAUGGCCGUUCUUAGUUGGUGGAGUGAUUUGUCUGCUUAAUUGCGAUAACGAACGAGACCUUAACCUGCUAAAUAGCCCGUAUUGCUUUGGCAGUACGCUGGCUUCUUAGAGGGACUAUCGG
rnacentral:rRNA from 1 species